rnacentral:rRNA from 1 species
UCCGUAGGUGAACCUGCGGAAGGAUCAUUACCGAGUGAGGGCCCUCUGGGUCCAACCUCCCACCCGGKGUUUAUCGGUACCUUGGUUGCUUCGGCGGGCCCSCCGCAAGGCCGCCGGGGGGCUUCCGUCCCCGGGGUCCGUGCCCGCCGAAGACACCUGGUGAACGCUGUAUGAAGAUUGCAGUCUGAGCGAAAAGCUAAAUUUAUUAAAACUUUCAACAACGGAUCUCUUGGUUCCGGCAUCGAUGAAGAACGCAGCGAAAUGCGAUAAGUAAUGUGAAUUGCAGAAUUCAGUGAAUCAUCGAGUCUUUGAACGCACAUUGCGCCCCCUGGUAUUCCGGGGGGCAUGCCUGUCCGAGCGUCAUUGCUGCCCUCAAGCACGGCUUGUGUGUUGGGCCCUCGUCCCUCCCGGGACGGGCCCGAAAGGCAGCGGCGGCACCGCGUCCGGUCCUCGAGCGUAUGGGGCUUCGUCACCCGCUCCGUAGGCCCGGCCGGCGCCUGCCGGCACCAUCAAUCUUGUUUUUCCAGGUUGACCUCGGAUCAGGUAGGGAUACCCGCUGAACUUAAGCAUAUCAAUAA